rnacentral:rRNA from 1 species
GUAGGGUGCGAGCGUUAAUCGGAAUUACUGGGCGUAAAGCGUGCGCAGGCGGUUUUGUAAGCCAGAUGUGAAAGCCCCGGGCUUAACCUGGGAAUGGCAUUUGGGACUGCAAGGCUUGAGUUUGGCAGAGGAGACUGGAAUUCCUGGUGUAGCAGUGAAAUGCGUAGAUAUCAGGAGGAAUACCGAUGGCGAAGGCAGGUCUCUGGGCUGAAACUGACGCUCAUGCACGAAAGCGUGGGGAGCAAACAGGAUUAGAUACCCUGGUAGUCCACGCCCUAAACGAUGUCGACUGGUUGUUGGGGGUUUGACACUCUCAGUAACGAAGCUAACGCGUGAAGUCGACCGCCUGGGGAGUACGGCCGCAAGGUUA